AAAAGGUUACUGAGGUACCAGAUCUUGUACAGAAGUCCAUGAAUCAUCAAUUUGGUUUCCUAAAUAUUUUCUUUCUUUCUUGCAGCUGAACCUGUAUCUUGUCCUGCUUCCACUUGAUGGUCAAAGUGUGCCUAAACUGGAAAAGCCCUACCACAGUUGCCUGCCAACACUAUCUAUUCGACAUCUCUGCCAGUUUGUUGCUCUCCAGUUGUCUCGACAACCCAAAGAAGUCGAGAUAUAUAUCAGGAAAAGCAAGGAUGCAUGCUUGUCAGCCAAUUACACUCGUAAAUACGAGACAAAGCCAGAACAACCUAAUGGUUUAGAGAGACUGUGGGAAGAGAAUUCUCUUUCGGAUCUCUACCCUUCCCUCGCCACCUGUCAAAGGAGAUCUGGCCCAUGCUAUUCUAUUGGACCCUUGUGCUCUGGUUCUGGAAUAUCUACAGAGAGACAUUAUUUGCUUCCUUCACAUUUUAGAGGUACCAAAGGCUUUUCUAGCAACAGUCCUACUAUUUCAUUUUGUCACCUUAAAAAAGAGAAUGAAUGUUAUUUGAUUCUUCACACAAUGCGAUGUUUUCUUCACACAGUAGUACUUGAAGGUACCCAAUGGUGUCGGUAAGGAUUUUGUCAUCAACAAUGGUGCAUGCUCUUGUUCCACGGAUUUGGGAUGUUUUAUUCUCUACUUGCUUUCCUGCUUAUAGAUUUGGUUGUCCUCAAAUGGUUUCACCUAAUACAUUUUCUGCCUUUACUGGCUUUUAAUCUCUCUCUACUGAUUUGUUUUAUGCUUGCAGAUGAAGUGAUUCCCUCGCGGUUGUGUCCUUCACAAAGGAAGGAUGUAAAGCCACACUCUUAUCAUGCAACAAACUAGAGCUGUGACACAACUAUAACAGAGGAAUCAUCGCCCAUUAGCACACUAAAAUUGGCACAUACAGAGAACGCGCCUGCGGAGUGGGAUUAUCUGAACAUAGAGGCCAACACACUUGAAAGGGAAAUGUGCCCUUGGGCCAUUUCUAAGUAUUUUGGUGAUU